ensembl:snRNA U6 U6 spliceosomal RNA
GUGCUCGCUUCGACAGCACAUUUACUAAAAUUGGAACGAGACAGAGAUUAGCAUGAUACAGAGAUUAGCACAGCCCCUGCGCAAGGGUGACGUGUAGUUCGUGAAGGGUUUCAUAUGUUU